rnacentral:tRNA from 1 species
GUGCCUAUGGUUUAGCGGUAGAACGACGGAUUGUGGUUCCGUUAGUCUGGGUUCAACUCCCAGUAGGCACCCA